UAGAAAGAUACUGGAUAAAUAGUAUGGUGU
rnacentral:piRNA from 1 species